UACGUAGGAUGCAAGCGUUGCCCGGAAUUAUUGGGCGUAAAGAGCGCGCAGGCGGCCUAUCAAGUCAGAUGUGAAAUAACCAGGCUUAACCUGGUGGGGUCAUUUGAAACUGGCAGGCUAGAGUACAGCAGAGGAUAGCGGAAUUCCCGGUGUAGUGGUGAAAUGCGUAGAUAUCGGGAGGAACACCAGUGGCGAAGGCGGGUCUCUGGGCCGAUACUGACGCUGAGGAGCGAAAGCGUGGGGAGCGAACAGG
rnacentral:rRNA from 1 species